rnacentral:rRNA from 1 species
AACGAACGCUGGCGGCGUGCCUAACACAUGCAAGUCGAGCGCGAAAGCCUUCGGGUGAGUAGAGCGGCGCACGGGUGAGUAACACGUGGGUAAUCUCCCUUUGGGUUUGGGAUAACCCGGCGAAAGCCGGGCUAAUACCGGAUAAGACCACGCAACGAGAGUUGUGUGGGAAAAGUAGGGGCCUUCUUCGGAAGCCUUACACCUUUAGAUGAGCCCGCGUCCCAUCAGCUAGUUGGCGGGGUAAUGGCCCACCAAGGCUAAGACGGGUAGCUGGUCUGAGAGGAUGAUCAGCCACACUGGAACUGAGACACGGUCCAGACUCCUACGGGAGGCAGCAGUGGGGAAUCUUGCGCAAUGGGCGAAAGCCUGACGCAGCAACGCCGCGUGAGUGAUGAAGGUCUUCGGAUCGUAAAGCUCUGUCGGCAGGAACGAUGCUUUUCGUAGCUAACAUCUACGAGAGGUGACGGUACCUGCAAAGGAAGCACCGGCUAACUCUGUGCCAGCAGCCGCAGUAAAAC